UACGGAGGGUGCAAGCGUUGUCCGGAUUUAUUGGGUUUAAAGGGUGCGUAGGCGGCUCUUUAAGUCAGCGGUGAAAGUCCAGAGCUCAACUCUGGGAUUGCCAUUGAUACUGAAGAGCUUGAGUAUAGUUGAGGUAGGCGGAAUUGACAGUGUAGCGGUGAAAUGCAUAGAUAUUGUCAAGAACACCGAUUGCGUAGGCAGCUUACUAAGCUAUAACUGACGCUGAGGCACGAAAGUGCGGGGAUCAAACAGG
rnacentral:rRNA from 1 species